CGCUCUAAGUCAGAUUCCUCCGCGUGACGAUGAUGAUGAUGGCGACGAUGAUAACGAUGAUGCUGGAUUGGUGAGGCGAAAUAUGUAUCGGAGAAAAAAGAAGAGAAGAGUUGAUGGGGAUGAAAGCUUUUGUGGAGAAAGAAGAUGAGUUGAUGUAUCUUAGUUUUUUUUUAAAAUUUAACUCCUUGUUUAACUUCUUGGAUUAUUAGACUUUAUAAAUAUUUGAGUGUUGAACUUGUAUAAUAUUUUGGAGUCGUUUGAAGAAGAUGUUGAGAACUUUGAAUUUGUUGUAUUGUGAUUUGAUUUCAAUUAUUAA